AACGAACGCUGGCGGCAGGCCUAACACAUGCAAGUCGAGCGAGGACUUCGGUCCUAGCGGCGGACGGGUGAGUAACGCGUGGGAACGUGCCCUUUGCUUCGGAAUAGCCCUGGGAAACUGGGAGUAAUACCGGAUGAGCCCUUUGGGGGAAAGAUUUAUCGGCGAAGGAUCGGCCCGCGUUGGAUUAGGUAGUUGGUGGGGUAAUGGCCUACCAAGCCGACGAUCCAUAGCUGGUUUGAGAGGAUGAUCAGCCACACUGGGACUGAGACACGGCCCAGACUCCUUCGGGAGGCAGCAGUGGGGAAUCUUAGACAAUGGGGGAAACCCUGAUCUAGCCAUGCCGCGUGAGCGAUGAAGGCCUUAGGGUUGUAAAGCUCUUUCAGCUGGGAAGAUAAUGACGGUACCAGCAGAAGAAGCCCCGGCUAACUCCGUG
rnacentral:rRNA from 1 species